UAAUAAAAGCUAAUUAAGAGAAGCUUCCUUUAAAUCUCUGGUGGCCAAGAAUAAGAAAAAUAGCUAUUGGUCACAGAUAUUUAUUGGUCACAUUGAUGCACAAGCAGCCUGUACUGUGUUCGAAUGGAACAUUAAAGUUAUUGUUUAUUUCAACCAUGGUUUGCUAAAGAAAUUCAGAAUCCUUUGCAGGUGAUGGCUUGUAUUGCCUAAUGUCAUUUUGUCUGACCCCUUUUAUGUGAAUUCCCAGCUGAUAUACUGAAGCCAUGUAUACCAAUUCUCUUGCCUUUGACAAGUUGCAUAAAUGGGUUGGGACACACAAACACUUCCCACCUUGGAAAGCUUCCUUGUUGUUUUUAAAACAGAGUCCUAAAGCAUCUCUUCAUUAACUCUUUCUUUUAAAACCUCCUGAACCCAAGUCCUUCCAGCUGUGACUGCUCUUUUAUUAAAGGCAGAUGGAUGUGGUUUUUUUCAGGGCCAAAAUUUUACUAGAUAUUAAGCAGAAGAACAGGUGUUAGCGAUAACCUGGGUCUUGUGGGAUAGAAAGGGCAAGUUGUUGCAGAAACAAUUUAGUGAUCAAACCGCGUAAUUGCACUGGUUGAACUGUUCAUGUAGUUUGCUAAGAGUGAAAGUGUGCAUUUAACAUAGUCAUUGUUAUAGGUAAAAGCACCCAUGAUCCCUUAAUUUUUUUUGCUUUUGUCACAAGGCUACUCCUGCAGAGCUAAGUAGCUGGAGGCCAGUGUAGAUCUAGAAAAGAAGCUGUUGCCAGGCAGCAAAAGGAAGGAUAGGGAAGACUAUGGAAGUACCAGUGAGAACUUCUUAGGUGGCUGGAUCAUUUCAUUUUCAAGCCUCUCUUCCCUUGUGUCUCUGUGGCUGGGUAAGUGGUAAGGACAGAGUGACACGUCAACCAGGAGUGAGCCAUGAUACAGAGCCCGGAUACUGAUACAAACCAAGCAGAGUUUUUCAAGCCAACUUCAAUCCAUGGUUUCAGAUUGUGGUUUGUUGGUGCAAAACAAAAAAACAAUUAGUGGGUUUUUGUGUGUGAUAGUAUUGGAUAUAAAACCAAACUUGAGUUAAGCUAAACCAACUAUAGUUUAGUUAUGUCUGAACCCAGCCGUUGUCUCAAGCAGCUCUGACAAAAGCACUUACCGUAGUAAAUUUACAUAUUUCCAGAGCCUAAACACCCACUUUCAUCUUGUUUUCACCAAAUGUUGCUGUACAUAGAACUCUGAUAAUGACUUCCAGUUGACCAGCAACUGUUGCUAUAUUUAGAAUUCUCAAAAUGACCUGAAAAACACUUUGGCCUCCUGUUGAAACUCUUUAUACUAAUUUGGAAGAAAGUCUUAAAAUUCUAACACUUUUUAAAAGGCAAUAUAUUCUUUGGCUCGAGUUCCAUUUUGUCCACUGUUGUCAAAUAAUAUAUUGCCUAUGAAAAAACGCUAGAGGGGAGGACAAAAAUAUUGGCUUUCUGGCCUAUUUAGACCCAUUGAGGGAAAUACUUUAAACAUUAAGACCAGAUAAAGGAGCAUAGACUAAUUUAAUUUUAGUGUGUUCUAUUUUUAUCUUGGAUCAAGUGAUGGAAAAAUGAAGACCUUGUUUUUUUGUCUUAUGCUGCCUGUAUCUCUUGUUAAAUCUUGCAUGUUACAAUAGCCUCUGCUUUUUAGUCAGUCCAAACAGAAAUGAAGUGUGUGAUAUUUUUAGAUAAAGUAUGAGAGAUUCCAUAAAUUUUUAGCUAUUCAUAGAUACUACUGCAAUAUUCUUUUUAAGUAUAAGACUUCAGCAAGAGGCUAAGAUCUUACGUUUGCCUUUAAAAUGAUUAUUGAAAGGAUGACCUCUGUUUGGAAACAGGUUUUUUUAAAGACAAUAUAAUGAGUCCAUAAGACUACUGUUGGAAUAUGUGUAGCUAUAAAUAGUAGAUCAGACAUUUAAGUCUUAAUAAAAGUUCAGAACCAGUUGUAAAGUAUAUUGUUUUAAUCUUCCAGCUGCUACUAAUGAAAUGCCUCAAGGAAAGGGCUAUUUUUAGAAGACUCCAUUAGAUUUUAAUAGGUGAUCCGGAAUGUGUUUGACUCUUUCCAGCAGAUGAAUGGAUAGAUGUGUGAACCAAGGGAGGGGUUCUUUUGUGUGUGUUUUCUAGAAGACACAAAUAUGGAGUAAACCCUUUCUGUAUAAAAAUAGAUGCAAAUUAUUUCCAGCUGCAAUGAUAUUAUACCUUAAAGUAACAGGGAAAAAAUUUGCACUGCCCAUCUCACUGCAGUUGUAAUGCCUACUCAUCAGAACAUCAGGAGAGCCUUCUGGAUCAGGCCAGUGUCCUGUUCUCACAUUGGUUGACCAAAUGGACCAAAUGUCCAUGGGAAACCAGGCAUCCUCAAAGCCUUGCAGACCCCAAAGGUGUGUCUCUUCCAGUAUAGCUGCCAUCCUCAAGAUCUGUCUUACAUUUGGAUAAAUGAGUUCCUAAUAUAUGGUCAACCCCUCCCUCACUUUUCCUGUGUUUAUAUUGCUGAUGAUUGACCGGUUUAGCCUUAAUAUUUGAUGGCCCAAACUGGUGCCUUUAUCUAACUGGGGUGAGAAAUCUAUUUGGCUGGUAGUUGACACUUUGUCUAUGCUGUCACGGUUUCAGAAAGCUGCUAGACUUCUGCUGAAGCUGAGAAAUGAAAAAGGUCGCUAUUAGGAGAGCAGUAGAUGCCAGCAUCUUGCUGUAGAAAGGAGAGAGGUCUAAAAGGGUGGUAGAGGGAGGAAACUCAGAAAAGGAAGUCAAAAUGGGUUCAUUUGUGGGAAGUACAGGUCUUUUGGGAAACAUGAAGGAGCUGUAAGUAGAACCUGGGAAGAUGGGACAACUUCAACUGUAGCUUUUUAGACAAGCUCCGUGUCUCAUACUGAAAGUGCAGUUUGUUCAAGUGGUACUUAACCAUACACUCAGGAUUAAUAACUUUUCAGCUGAAAUGGUCCUAAAACCUAAAUCAAAAACAUUUUUCCAGAAAUUAAAUAUAUGUUUGCAUUGCAUAAAAAAUGUGAACAGAUUUGUUUUCUCUAAAUGAAUAUUACUCUUGGAUAGAGGUUGAGGCAUGGAAAACUUUCAGAUGUAACAGAUUUUAAGAAUAGCAUGUGGAAGUUGUGAGGAGAACCUGAGCUUACAGGGUUAAACAGCUCAGAGUGUACGCUCUGCCUACUAGUGGGAGGGGGGAACUUCUACGUCAGUUCCGAGAGACUCAAGUCUUUGUUCUUUCUCUCUACUUUCGCUUUUGAGGAGAGAGGACGUGUUUUCGCGAUGCUGUUCGCUGUGAUAGAUAAUGGAUAGCCUCCUGUAAAUAAAACUGCUUUUAGCUGCUAAGAUCCUGUGUGGACUUUAUUUAAGCACACUGAAGAAGGCACUGGAGUUUUUUUGCAGCUUCCUCUAGCCGCUGUUGAUCUCAACUCUGCUAUGCUCAGAAGUAUCGGAUUUUGGAAUGCAGAGGCCCGCGAUGGGGAAGCGUGCCGGACCUCAGGCUUAUCUGAGCAAUAAAUCAAUCUACCUAACAGAAGUAAGAUAUUGGACAUAAUGUGGUGGCAUCAAGUGAGGAAUAGGCAACACGCACCAGUCUUUUCCAAGGAAAGCUUUACUUUCACCCAGAAGAGUCAGUGGCUAAGAUUCAGGGAAAUGGCCUUUUCAGGAUGGACAUUGCUAUCAGGCCAUAGAUUGUGUAUCUGUGCUCUCUUAGUCUUUAUCAGCACACAUGAAUAGAACAGCAUAAAUACUGAUAGCAAAUUAGACUUGUAAUACUUGUAGACUUAUGUGCAGCCUUCACCGCUGAUGUGACUUGCAUGCAUUGUUUAGUUCUGCAUAGUAUACAAGUAUCAAAGCUUAUUGUAUGAAACAGCCUUAUAAUAAGAUGUCUAAAUAAUUAUUUUGUCUGUCACCAUGGCACAAGGACUCAAGUGCACACAUGGACUUCUGCAAAAGAGUGGCUCCCCUGUUGGUGCUGAAGAAUGCUCUCUGCACACAACAUAUUCAUUGGUAAUGCAGAAAAUUAAUUUCAUGAAUUUAUGAAUGACUGGGAUGUAUAGUUUCAUAUAGCACCACACUGGUGCUAUUCAUGACUUUGAGGGCACACUUACAUCAAUUCUGUCCUCCAUUGUUCUUAUUCAUGACAUAUAUCACUUAACUGAUCUCAAGUAAUUUUCUUAAGACAUUAGUUUAAGGCCAAUUUUGCCACACGUCACAUUGAAAAAUGUGUUUUUGCAUUGCCAGUUUAUUCAGGUUGUCAACAGCUUGAAGAUUGUCUACUUGUUUAGUCUUCUGGUAUACAGAAAGGGCUAUGGCUCCACCACUGCCUCUGGUCUAUGCUCUUCUAGGGCUUGUGUUACUAAGAUCAUGUUUGACAAAAAGUGGAAUGCAAGAAUAGAAAAUAAAUAAAUAAAAUUUGCUCUGCUAAAUCAGGUCAGCUGCCCCAAAGCUCUGAAGUGUUCCUUUCUUUUCUAGAACGCUUUUGAUUACUGAUCUUAGAUACUGUUGAUUUUCCAUUGUUUUCCAUUGUUCUGUGGUUGGUCUUGAUGGUUGGUCUGUUGAUGAAGCUAUUUUUAUCGAAGUAUUUGUUUUAAUUUUAUGUAAGCCAUCUGAAACUGGGUAAAGACAAGGUAAUGCUUUAAAAGUAGUUUUGGGAGAGUGGGACUUUCCUUUCUCCAGUGCUGUUCAAACAUAUAUAUGAAAGCAGUUGGGAGAGGGUGUUAAUAGUUCUGAAGUGUCACCAAUACACUGAUGAUGCCAACUCUCGUUCUCCAUUACAUCUGAGUCAGGAGUGGCUGUGCAAGCCCUGGAACAGGUACCUGAAUGAGGACCAAGAAACUGAGCUUGAAUCCUGGUAAGACAGAGUGGAUGAUUCCCAUUCUUGGGAGAUAGACUAAUUGCCUGUAGUGGAAAGAGCAGCACUCCCUCUGAAAGAGUAAGUCUGCUGUCUUGGGGUACUCCUUGGUCCACUCUGGCCCUAGAGGCCCAAGUGACCUCUGUGGCUAGGACUGCUUUUUACCAGAUCUGGCUGGUGCAGCAGCUGUUAUCAUUCCUGGACCACAGUAGCCUGACCAUAGUGGUCCAUGCACUGGUCAACUGAAACUGUGAUUACUGUAAAACAGCUUAUGAGUGGCUGCCCUUGUAUCUGGGUCCAGAAGAUGAAGCUAGCACAGAAAGCAGCAACUACGGUACUCACAGCAACAGGCCACUUGCGACAUGUUUCACCUCUGCUGAGGGAUCUGCAUGGAUAGAUCCAUCUGUCAGUACAGCAUGAGACUCUUAAUUUUGUGGUUGUGGGUUCAAGCCCCAUGUUGGACGAAAAGAUUCCUUCAUUGCAGUGGGUUGGAGUACAUGACCCUUGUGUUCCUGUCCAGCUCUACAAUUCUGUGAUUUUAUGAUUGCCAAUUUGCUGCUGAUGGGCAGGGUUCAAGGUUUUUCUGUAAACCACAAGGCCCAAAAUAACUUGGGGCCCAAAGUACCUUAAAGACCACCUGGCACCUUAUGCGCCACCUCAGUCACUGAGAUCCUCGGACAGGCCAUUUAUUGUGUUUCCACACACCCCUGAGGUUUGAUCGGCCUCUACUAAGGACCAAACUUUUAGUGCGGCAGACCCUGCCCUGUGGAAAUCUCAGCCAGUAGGGAUUUGGCAGGAAUCAUCCCUGUCUUCUUUUAGACAUCACCUAAAAAUGUCGUUUGGACAGGCUUUUGAAAUGUGCAGAUUUUUAUUUUUUAACCAACCAGUAUUUAUGUUGUUUUAAACUGAUGUUUUAUUGAUGUUUUUAUCAUUGCUGUAACUUUUGUAUGGUGUACAUGGCCCUGUUGUAUUUUUACAAAACUGGGUUUAUAAAUAUUAAAAUAAUAAAUGGAUAAAUAAAAUUAAUGCUGUUUAAAUGUGACUACAUCAAAUCUUCCACAUCAGGCACAUUUUUGAGGCUAGUGAAGGAAUGGUUUCAUUUCUCUUAAAUAUAAAAUUUCUUACCCUUUAAUAAACUAAACCUUCUGUAUCUUUGUGGAAGGAAAGGCAACCUCAAAUAGCUUUUCCUGUACUCUGGGAAUGUAAACUGAACAAUGCUCAUAUUAUUUCUGGCCUAUAAUAUUCAGAGGGCAUCAAAAAUUUAAAAAGUUCAAAUCCCACCACUACUGUGUAAGAUCCAGAUUAAGACACAUUGACACUGAUUUUUAGUGAGUGCUUUCAUCUUUCAUUUGUCUGCGGUUCAUAUUGCUAGAAGGAGAGCCUGUCAGCAGUUUCUCUAUGAAAUGCAAGGAGAAAAACCUGUCAAUUUUGUAUACAUGCAGUAAAGGGGGGACCUACAUCACUUCUUAAGCAAAUCUGGUAAAGAAAAGGGGAAGGUUGUACAUGUGUGUUGGCUGAAUAGGGAUGUCCCCUUAGCAUCAAUGUCCCCUAACUGGGUUUGUGUUCGUGCAUAUGAAUUUUAAGAGGUGAUUAACACCGUCCUGGAAAAAUCAAUGAUUGUGGACAGCUGUACAAUGCACUGUAAUGGGCUACUACCACAUAAAGUGUUGCUACUGGUCUACGUUUUCCCCUCGUCAAUGCUUCUUGUAGAUCCUAUGGCUGAAAAAUCCAGUAACACUCAGAACAUCCCAAGGAGAUGAGAGAAAAAAGGAACACUGCAGAUUGAUUGGGGAUUUGGAAUAAUUAUUAUUCCCUCCCCCCUCCUGGAGAGGAAUAGUGAAGGGGUGUCUUCUCUGACAUAGUCUCCUCUGCAUUCCAUUAUUUGCUGCAGAGGAGUGCAGGGUUGCCUUUGUACUCGUGUAAUAAGGGCAGAAAUGGUGCUACAGAGAAUAAGAGUAAGGACAAUGAGCAGACAAGAGAGGAUGGCUAUCAAAUAGUCUGACUGACUAGGAGAGGCAGUGUGGUGUAGUGACUGGAGUGUCAGACUAGGACCUGGGAGACCAGGAUUCAAAUCCCCAGUUGACUAUGAAGUUCACUGGGUCACCUUGGGCCAGUAACUGCCUCUCAGCCAAACCUACCUCACAGGGUUGUUGUGGAGAUUAACUGAGGAGAGGGAGAACCAUGUCCACCAGCCUGAGCUCCUUGGAGAAGAAGGUGGGAUAC